UUUAACUGGAGGAAGGUGGGGAUGACGUCAAAUCAUCAUGCCCCUUAUGACCUGGGCUACACACGUGCUACAAUGGACAGAACAAAGGGCUGCGAGACCGCAAGGUUUAGCCAAUCCCAUAAAUCUGUUCUCAGUUCGGAUCGCAGUCUGCAACUCGACUGCGUGAAGCUGGAAUCGCUAGUAAUCGCGGAUCAGCAUGCCGCGGUGAAUACGUUCCCGGGCCUUGUACACACCGCCCGUCACACCACGAGAGUUUGCAACACCCGAAGUCGGUGAGGUAACCUUUAUGGAGCCAGCCGCCGAAGGUGGGGCAGAUGAUUGGGGUGAAG
rnacentral:rRNA from 1 species